rnacentral:sRNA from 1 species
UAUUGGUCCCGUCCAUUCGAUAGCCAGC